GACGAACCGUGCGAACGUUGUUCGGAAUUACUGGGCGUAAAGCGCGUGUAGGCGGCAGCGCAAGUCGGGCGUGAAAUCCCACGGCUCAACCGUGGAAGUGCACUCGAAACUGCGCAGCUAGAGUCCUGGAGAGGAAGGUGGAAUGCUUGGUGUAGAGGUGAAAUUCGUAGAUAUCAAGCGGAACACCGGUGGCGAAGGCGACCUUCUGGACAGUGACUGACGCUGAGACGCGAAAGCGUGGGGAGCAAACAGG
rnacentral:rRNA from 1 species